CCCCUAGAUGUUCUGGGCCGCACGCGCGCUACACUGAACAGUUCAACAAGUCUUAACCUUGGCCGAUAGGUCUGGGUAAUCUUUGAACGCUGUUCGUGAUUGGGAUAGACCUUUGCAAUUAUGGGUCUUCAACGAGGAAUUCCUAGUAAACACAAGUCAUCAGCUUGCAUUGAUUACGUCCCUGCCCUUUGUACACACCGCCCGUCGCACCUACCGAUUGAAUGGUCCGGUGAAAUCUCGGGACGGCGGCUUGGUCGCUUGCGUCCGACUGCUGAAACUUGAUUAAACCAUAUCAUUUAGAGGAAGGUGAANUCGUAACA
rnacentral:rRNA from 1 species